AACAGGAUUAGAUACCCUGGUAGUCCACGCCGUAAACGAUGUCGACUUGGAGGUUGUGCCCUUGAGGCGUGGCUUCCGGAGCUAACGCGUUAAGUCGACCGCCUGGGGAGUACGGCCGCAAGGUUAAAACUCAAAUGAAUUGACGGGGGCCCGCACAAGCGGUGGAGCAUGUGGUUUAAUUCGAUGCAACGCGAAGAACCUUACCUACUCUUGACAUCCAGAGAACUUAGCAGAGAUGCUUUGGUGCCUUCGGGAACUCUGAGACAGGUGCUGCAUGGCUGUCGUCAGCUCGUGUUGUGAAAUGUUGGGUUAAGUCCCGCAACGAGCGCAACCCUUAUCCUUUGUUGCCAGCGGUUCGGCCGGGAACUCAAAGGAGACUGCCAGUGAUAAACUGGAGGAAGGUGGGGAUGACGUCAAGUCAUCAUGGCCCUUACGAGUAGGGCUACACACGUGCUACAAUGGCAUAUACAAAGAGAAGCGACCUCGCGAGAGCAAGCGGACCUCAUAAAGUAUGUCGUAGUCCGGAUUGGAGUCUGCAACUCGACUCCAUGAAGUCGGAAUCGCUAGUAAUCGUGGAUCAGAAUGCCACGGUGAAUACGUUCCCGGGCCUUGUACACACCGCCCGUCGCACCAUGGGAGUGGGUUGCAAAAGAAGUAGGUAGCUUAACCUUCGGGAGGGCGCUUACCACUUUGUGAUUCAUGACUGGGGUGAAGUCGUAACAAGGUAACC
rnacentral:rRNA from 1 species